AGGUGCCGUUUACCACGGCCGGGCGUCUGCUGUGUUUUUGGUGUGCUAGUGCAUUCUGCUACAUUUUGCUCUUGAGGAAAUAAUCUAGUUCUUUAAAUGUUUAUAUUGUUUUAUUCUCUUAGUUAAAACAAAUCGCCUUUUUGUUUGGUUCUAAAGACAAAGUUCAAUAUCGUAUACGUGUUAUCAAACAAACUCUUGCCCUAGUAAAGAAAUGUAAUAUAAGGUGAUGAAGGUUAAAGAGAGAUUUAAAGAAGUACGGACCAAAAAGCCACUUAAGUACUACGCUAUCAUCCUACCACACUACUAUGUAUGCUGCUCUGACCUACUUUAUUGAAGCCCUGAAGUACUUACUCAGCUCCAAGUUACCACACGGAUGCAACACUUUAUUGCACCACAACUUACACUACUUCAAGCUACCACAAGGAGGCCCCCCAAAUAUUACACAACAAAGGCACCAGAGUACUACACAACAGAUUAUGCUACGCAAAACCAAGCUACUAUAUUGAAGCUCUGAAGUACUACUAUUUACACUGCCCCAAGCUAUAUCAUCGCUACAGUUGCCUACUACACCACAACAGAAGCAACCAAAAUCGUACGGUGAAGUCCUAGGCAACACCAACAAAGGAUCCUCUUACUGGGUUUCCCCUGAAGGUCAGAUAUUCACUUUGACAUGGGCCGCUGAUGAAGCCGGUUUCCAGCUUAAAGGUGAUCACUUGCCCGUCGCUCCCGUCCACGAAUACGAGCUCCAGUUGCCCCUGUCCACAUUCCUUUCAACUGCAAAGGCUAUAAAAUUAAAAAAAUUGUUAAAACCCUGACUGAAUAAAUACAUGUUAAUAUGAAGCAGA